rnacentral:sRNA from 12 species
AAAAUGAAUAUUGUUUAUUGAUAACUCUGUGAAGACUACAUUCGAUGUGUAGGCAGAGAAACACCGAAAAGUGCUCGGGGCAAACGAAACAAUGAUAGUUGUGGAUAGCUGACCGCUGUUUGAUUGUGAAUGAAAAACAGAAUCCUUGUCAGGAGAAAGUAAAGGUGUUGUGCUAAAGUUAUCGCAGUUAAAGGUAUCCGUGGAGUUGCAGGAAUAAUAGAAGACAAGCGUUAAAAGCGUAGUCUGAAUCCAAGUUAGGGUUUAGCUGGUGACUGGUAUCAAACCUUGGAAAUACCACCAAUCCUGUUUGCGGUGAUGACAAAGAAAUUUGUCUAUAAGACUCUACAGAAUCCAAGUAGCGGAAAUCGCAAUGACACACAUUUUUUGAUGAUAUUUAGAAAAAUAUAAUGAAAAAAUUCUGAAUAUCCCGUGAAAGGUAAAGGUAACCAUUCCUUUAAUAGCAUUGUGCGAAUGUAUGCUGUUCUUAAGUGGGAUAGUGUACUAUGCUUGGGCAAGAAGUUAUAAGAGGACGCUUUUAUAGCUCAGACUUGUCUACUAUGUGACUGAAAAUAACUGAAGAUAAUGGCAGUAAGGCGAAGGUCUAUCAAUAAAAAGUAUUCAUU